UCAACGAUAUAAAUUUUCUUCGGAAAUCGGUCUUUUCUCGUUCGCAUUAGUCGGUGCAGUGAGAGUUAAAUUAGGACCGGCCCGAACACUAAAUUGGGCCCAA
rnacentral:ribozyme from 1 species